UACCAGCACCCCGAGUGGUCGGGACGUUUAUUGGGCCUAAAGCAUCCGUAGCCGGUUCUACAAGUCUUCCGUUAAAUCCAGCUGCUCAACAGAUGGGCUGCGGAAGAUACUAUAGGGCUAGGAGGCGGGAGAGGCAAGCGGUACUCAGUGGGUAGGGGUAAAAUCCUCUGAUCCAUUGAAGACCACCAGUGGCGAAGGCGGCUUGCCAGAACGCGCUCGACGGUGAGGGAUGAAAGCUGGGGGAGCAAACCGG
rnacentral:rRNA from 1 species